rnacentral:lncRNA from 1 species
CCUUACAGAAGCACCCACGCCAGGCACUCACACAGGGAUUGGUUUUCUUUCCCCUAGGUCUAUGGUUUCAGCCCCUCACCUGGGAAGAAUGGCUUCAUUCAAUUCCUGAUGGGCAGCUGGGUCUGGCCCAGCACUGGGAGAAUCAGACUUGCUUCUGGUUUCAAGUGACGUCAAGAUUUUCCUAUUUAAGGUCCCAAGGGAUUCCUUCACAAACUCCAUCCAUACAAUCUAGGACAAGGACAAGGAAGCGGGUCUUUCUCUAAGAAGCCAUACAGACAAGGAAGUGUGGGGACAAGUGACCAGUAAAUAGGUGACUUACACUCUCACUUGGCUAGAAGGUUCUACCAGUUCCCAGAAAGAAAUCUGUGGAGCACUUCCCACCCAUCUUCUGCUCACAACUUGGGAGGCUGGUUCUGAUCUCAGAAGCUUUAAUCUCCUAGAGGGAACUCCUGAGCCCAAAUUAUGAAUGGAGAUACAAGUCCUAGAUUCUUGCCUUUAUCAGUAAGAGGAGGAGAUAUAGAGAAGGAUCUCGAGCUGUCUCCCUGCCUGCCAUGAACAAGUCUUAUGGGGAGGGAGAGUCUGGCUCCUCUAGAGUCCAGCUUGGGAAGAGAAUUAGUUUUAUGAUGGACCUAAGGGAUAGGUACCACAUCCAGAUGGAUGGAUGAUUGAGUAAAACUGAUGAG